rnacentral:rRNA from 1 species
CUGAGAGAUGAUCAGGUAGAUAGGUUGGAAGUGGAAGGCUAGUGAUAGUUGGAGCGGACCAAUACUAAUCGGUCGAGGACUUAACCAA